rnacentral:tRNA from 1 species
GGAGAAGUGCGAGAGCGGUUUAAUCGGCACGCUUGGAAAGCGUGUGUAGCUGAAAGGCCACCAUGGGUUCGAAUCCCAUCUUCUCCGCCA